AUGAUGAAUGUCAUAGAUUAGACGUAAAGUUUAUUCUAUAAAUGAAAGUGUAAGCAUUCCACCUCAAGAGUAAUUUGGCAACAUUGGAACUGAAAUCAUUAGACCGUAUCUGAAACCAGUAGUGAAGUAUGUUGUUUAAUUUGAUGAUCCGCAAAAAACCUUACCACAAUUUGAAUAUUUAUAUAUAUAUUUAUAUAUAUAUUUUUACAAGCGUUGCACGGCUGUUUUCAGUUAAUGUCGUGAGAUUUUGGUUAGUUCCAUUAAAUUAACGUAAGCCCUUACUUUAUUUUUUAUAUAAAGUUGUUCCCCACUAGAUUGGAUAUGAUAACAGGGACUAAGACAAGUCAUCAUGGCCUAAAUAUUGU
rnacentral:rRNA from 1 species